UACGAAGGGGGCUAGCGUUGCUCGGAAUCACUGGGCGUAAAGCGCACGUAGGCGAAUUCCUAAGUCGGUGGUGAAAUCCUGGAGCUCAACUCCAGAACUGCCUCCGAUACUGAGAGUCUUCGAGUCCGGGAGAGGUGAGUGGAACUGCGAGUGUAGAGGUGAAAUUCGUAGAUAUUCGCAAGAACACCAGUGGCGAAGGCGGCUCACUGGCCCGGUACUGACGCUGAGGUGCGAAAGCGUGGGGAGCAAACGGG
rnacentral:rRNA from 1 species